rnacentral:rRNA from 1 species
GGAGUCUAGCAUGUGCGCGAGUCAUUGGGAUAUAACUAAACCUAAAGGCGCAAUGAAAGUAAAAGUUUAUCUAGCAUAAACUAAGGGAGGAUGAGCAAUUUAUUUAAUAAUUACUCCGCACUCCCGGGGCGUCUCAUUCUCAUUAUGAGAGGAGGCGCACCAUGAGCGUACACGCUGGGACCCGAAAGAUGGUGAACUAUGCCUGGUCAGGACGAAGUCAGGGGAAACCCUGAUGGAGGUCCGUAGCGAUUCUGACGUGCAAAUCGAUCGUCGGAACUGGGUAUAGGGGCGAAAGACUAAUCGAACCAUCUAGUAGCUGGUUCCCUCCGAAGUUUCCCUCAGGAUAGCUGGCGCUUAGAGCGUUCGAGUUUCAUCCGGUAAAGCGAAUGAUUAGAGGCAUUGGGGUCGAAACGUCCUCAACCUAUUCUCAAACUUUAAAUGGGUGAGAUCUUCGGCUUGCUUAAACAACAUUUUUAAUGUUGAAGCCGUAAGAUUUUGAAUCAAAGUGCCAAGUGGGCCAUUUUUGGUAAGCAGAACUGGCGCUGUGGGAUGAACCAAACGUCGAGUUAAAGCGCCUAAAUCGACGCUUAUGGGAUACCAUGAAAGGCGUUGGUAACUUAAGACAUCAGGACGGUGGCCAUGGAAGUU